AUUGAACGCUGGCGGCAUGCUUUACACAUGCAAGUCGAACGGUAACAGGCCGCAAGGUGCUGACGAGUGGCGAACGGGUGAGUAAUGCAUCGGAACGUGCCCAGUCGUGGGGGAUAACGCAGCGAGAGCUGCGCUAAUACCGCAUACGACUGAUGGAUGAAAGCGGGGGACCGUAAGGCCUCGCGCGAUGGGAGCGGCCGAUGUCAGAUUAGGUAGUUGGUGGGGUAAAGGCUCACCAAGCCAACGAUCAGUAGCUGGUCUGAGAGGACGACCAGCCACACUGGGACUGAGACACGGCCCAGACUCCUACGGGAGGCAGCAGUGGGGAAUUUUGGACAAUGGGCGCAAGCCUGAUCCAGCAAUGCCGCGUGCAGGAAGAAGGCCUUCGGGUUGUAAACUGCUUUUGUACGGAACGAAACGGUCCUGGUUAAUACCCGGGGCUAAUGACGGUACCGUAAGAAUAAGCACCGGCUAACUACGUGCCAGCAGCCGCCGUAAUAC
rnacentral:rRNA from 1 species